CUGGUGUCAGCCGCCGCGGUAAAACCAGCUCUCCGAGUGGUAGGGAUGAUUAUUGGGCUUAAAGCGUUCGUAGCCGGCCCUUCAAGUCUCCUGUCAAAUCCAGCGAUUUAAUCGUUGGUUCGCGGGAGAUACUGUUGGGCUUGGAGGCGGGAGAAGCCGACGGUAUUCCCGGGGUAGGAGUGAAAUCCUGUAAUCCCGGGAGGACCACCGGUGGCGAAGGCGGUCGGCUAGGACGCGCUCGACGGUGAGGAACGAAAGCUGGGGGAGCGAACCGGAUUAGAUACCCGGGUAGUCCCAGCCGUAAACGAUGCGGGCUAGGUGUUGGGGCGGCCACGAGCCGCUUCAGUGCCGCAUGAAAACAAUUAAGCCCGCCGCCUGGGGAGUACGGCCGCAAGGCUGAAACUUAAAG
rnacentral:rRNA from 1 species